rnacentral:tRNA from 1 species
GGGGUUGUGGCUCAGUGGUAGAGCACUUGCCUACUAUGCAUGAUGCAGUGGAUUCAAUCCCCAGCACCA